AACGAACGCUGGCGGCAUGCCUAACACAUGCAAGUCGAACGAGACCUUCGGGUCUAGUGGCGCACGGGUGCGUAACGUGUGGGAACCUGCCCUUAGGUUCGGAAUAACUCCCCGAAAGGGGUGCUAAUACCGGAUAAUGUCUUCGGACCAAAGAUUUAUCGCCUUUGGAUGGGCCCGCGUUGGAUUAGCUAGUUGGUAGGGUAAAAGCCUGCCAAGGCGACGAUCCAUAGCUGGUCUGAGAGGAUGAUCAGCCACACUGGGACUGAGACACGGCCCAGACUCCUACGGGAGGCAGCAGUGGGGAAUAUUGGACAAUGGGCGAAAGCCUGAUCCAGCAAUGCCGCGUGAGUGAUGAAGGCCUUAGGGUUGUAAAGCUCUUUUACCCGGGAUGAUAAUGACAGUACCGGGAGAAUAAGCUCCGGCUAACUCCGUG
rnacentral:rRNA from 1 species